rnacentral:tRNA from 1 species
GGCCCCGUAGUGUAGCGGCCGAACACGCCACCCUGUCAAGGUGGAGAGCGUGGGUUCAAAUCCCAUCGGGGCCGCCA